rnacentral:lncRNA from 1 species
CCCUAAGCCGGUGGAGCCGCGGCCGCGCCUGUGCGCGAGGGCGCGCGCGUCCCGAGCCCUCCACCCGUCGUGCCGGCGCCGCCCGGACCGCCAGCGUGGCCCAGGGAAGCCAAAAGAUUGCACACUCCUGCAGUAGAAUAUAGGCGGCCAACAGGUGGAGCGGGCACAGACUCAGGCUGCGCCGUGGCUGAGCCUUUACGACGCCAGGAGAAGCGAAAGGAACCAGGCGCAGAGGGCCACGUGGUGUGUGAGGCCAUUCACAGCAAAUGUCCUGAACAG